GGGCAGGGGGCACACCACAUCACAUGUGUGCUCCGUGCAUGGUCCACGUGCUUUGUCACAUACACUUUCUGUGAAGAGUCCACAAACCACAUCAUACGUGUGCUCUGCACACACUCCACACACCGUAUCACGUGUGCUGAGAAGUCCAUGUCAUGUCACACAUGCAUUCUGUGUACAGUCCACACACCGCGCCAUAUGAGUGCUCUGCACGGAGUCCAUGUGCCAUAUCAUACAUGCAUUCUGUGCACAGUCCACACACCACAUCAUACGAGAGCUCUGUGCAUAGUCCACAUGCCCUGUCACACAUGCGUUCUGUUCAGGAUCCACACACAUCACACACGUGCUCUACAAAAGUUCACAUGCUGUAUCACACAUGCAUUCUGUGUACAGUCCAUAAACCACGUCACAUAUGCUUUCUGUGCAGUCCACAAGCCAUGUCACAUAUGCAUUCUGUGCACUGCACACACAUCACACAAUGCUCUGUGAGAAGUCCACACGCCGUGUUAUAUGUGCAUUCUGUUCACAGUCCACACACCACAUCAUAUGAGUGCUCUGUGCAUAGUCCACGUCAUGCCACAUAUGCAUUCUGUGCACUGUUCAUGCACCACAUCGUACGAGUGCUCUGUGCAUAGUCCACAUGCUGUGUUACACAUGCAUUCUGUUCACAGUCCACACAUCAUGAGUGCUCAGUGCAUGGUCCACACGCCACGUCACACAUGUGCUCUGUGCAUAGUCCACACGCUACGUUACACACCUGCUGUGCAUGCUCCACCUCCACAUGCCUCGUCACACAUGCAUUCAGUGUAGUCCACAUGCCACAUCACAUGUGCUCUGUGUAGUCAGCAUGUAUACUCUGUGUCCCUGGAGCCCCAGUCAGCAAAUCAGAUCUUUUUUCAAUCAAAUAUAAGUACUUAAUGCUAUAAACAUCCCUUGAGGCAAUGUUCUAGUUUCAUUUCUCAAAUUUGAUGUUAUAAUUUUCAUUCAGUUCAAAAUAUCUGUAAAUUUCCCUUGAGAUUUCCUCUCUGACUCAUGGAUUAUUUAGUAGAUUGUUUAAUUUUGAAAUAUUUAGGGCUUUUCCAAGCCAUCUUUCUGUUAUCAACCUCCAGUUUAAUUCUACGAUGGCCUGUGAACUUAUUUUGUAUGAUUUCUAAUCCUUUAAAUUUGUCAUGGUUUAAGGACUCAGAACGUGAUCUUUCUUACUGAACGCUCCGCGUGCACCUGAAAGGAAUGUGUCUUUUCCAUCACUGGGUAGAAUGUUCUACAGCUGGCAGUUAGGUUUAGUCGGUUGGUGGUGGUGGUAAACUCUGAACUGACCUUCUGUCCACCAGUUGAUUGAUUACUGGGAGAGGAAUGUUAAAGUCGACACUAUAAUCCUGAUUUGUCUAUUCCUCCUUUCAGUGCCAGGUUUCUGCUCUACACAUUUGGAAUCUAUUGUAACGUGGUGGUGUUACUCCGUCUUCCUCUGGUGAGUGCUUCUGUGGCGCCUCUUUGUGGCACACACUCCAGGGCGUCCACCUCCUGCCCUUGUCUAAGUCCCUCUCCUCGAGCCUGGGCAGCAGGGAUGACCAGCUUCUGACCAGCAGAAGGGCAGGGAGGCCAUGGCUGUGCAGACACUACAUACCGCUUCUUGCUGGCUGACUCAUUCUCGGGGCUCUCCCCCAUGGCUGUGUUGGGGCAGCCUGGGGGCAGGAAAGCUGGGUGCCUCUUGCUGACAGUCAGCAAGAAGCCAGCACCCACAGCUAAUGAACCCUGCCAACAACCUGAGCGAGCUUGGAAACAGAUUCGAAAACAAAGGAGAAGCAGACCUUCUUGGAGUCGAGGUCCAUACAAGGCGGCCGGCUGCACCCUGUCUGAGCCUGGCGAGGAGUCGUCUGCCCUGACCCACAGAGACACACAUAACAGACACGGGCUGCCUGAAGCCUCAGUCCUGCGGCCGGCAGUAACUAACCCAACCUUCUUCCAGCACCACUUGGCCCGGCUCUGCCUCUGCGACACAGUGGGGCUCUCAGCUGGGCUGCAGACUGUUCACACUCAGGGAGGAUGGACAUGGCCGCACAGUGUGAAUACGGGACGUCUCAGUGGGUUUUCUGUGUGUGUUACGAUCCCGCUGGCUGUCCUUGGAGCUGCUGGAUCUGGUGUCUGCCGAUGGUCUGGGGAACCCACAGCGACCGUGUCUCCAUGCUCCUCCUCCCUGCGCGUCUCCUCCUCUGGGGCUGCAGGCACCUGCUCAUUAGACCGUCCGAGAUGCUCUGAUAGGCCUGGCUGCUCGUCCUUUCCGGGAUGCUCUCCUCUGCCCCUGCUGGAGCAGCGUCUGUCUCCUGACCAGCUCCGUGGCGGCGGUUCCCACUCUCUACUGGUGGGCCAGAGGAAGGCAGUGUUCCCUGCUGCUGUGCUUUCUCACAUCGCUUCCUCCUCAGUGUCCAUCUCUGCCGAAGUGACUGACCUCCCAGCCCUGUAUCCUGUGCACCCUCCAUCAGAGUCCUCAACAUGCUGAUCACUUCUUUAAAUUUCCUGUCAGAGCACUCUGA